GUUUUUCGAGUUUUUUUUUUUUGAUUCGUUUACCAUACUGAUCCGAUUGUAUUUUCGCGUGAGCACUGUCAAUAUUAAAUUGUAAUAUACGUUAGAUAAAUUAUGGUAUAAUAUAAAUAUAUAUAUAUAUUUUUCAUCAAAAAGUGUUUAUUAUAUCAAAAAAAUGGCAUUGCAACGUUCAACCGUUGCAUUUCAAACUAUCCGUAAUUUAAGAAAAAUUAACGGAGAAAUAAAAUUACAUCUUCGAUCAAGAACUACAACAGCUUCAGGUGCCAUCCUACCGGAACCAAAAAGAACACGUUUUGGCUUUUUCUUUGUUAUUUGCUGUGUUUCGACAGGAUUAGUUAUAGGAACUACAUUAAGUAAAAUGGUAGCUAAUUUUCUCGAAGAGAAAGAAUUGUUCGUACCUUCGGAUGACGAUGACGACGAUGAUUAAUUUAUUGUCGAUAUACGUGUUCUAUUUAAGGCAAAAAAUUUAAAUUAGUCUUAUUAAAUUAUUCGACUUACGCUUUUUAUAUAUAUCAAAUGUUAACUUUUAAACUUUUUAUCGAUAGUAAAAUGUCUUAUCGUACAUCAUUCUUCAAGCUUCAUUCGCAAGCAUAGUUAAUUUUUUUUAUUUCCAAGAAUAGAUAUCAUUUUUUGUUUUAAUGAAAUGAAUUUAUAAUAUUAACAAAGCAGGAUCUCGCCGUUCGCUGGAUUUUUGGAAAUUUUCGCUUAAAUUGUUCGUACCUUCGGCAAAAAUCACGAUAGACGAAAACUUAAUAAAAUCGAAUAGGGGAUAAUUACCUAGAUGUAUAAACAUAGAACAUGACGCGGGAAAUUAAUUUAAUUAAGAGUUUAAAUAUAUAAUUUGUAGAGAACGUUCGAAGCCGAAUCCCUUGAAUCGAUAUUAAAUUGUACAAGGAAACGAUAAAAAUGGAAAUCAUUUAACGCGAAUAAACGAAUUCGCGAUGUCGCAGAUUAAACGAGAUUUUAUUUUUAUUACUGUAUAUUAUAAAAAAAAGAUAUAUAAUUUAUAAGUAAUAUAACUUAAGAAUUUUUUUACAAGUAUACGAAUAUCACAUGUAUAAGAGUUUUUAAUUCUUUUUGGAAUUUUACUUAUAGUUAGAAGAAAAAUAUGGAAAUCAAAUUGCGUAUUUUAAUUUAUUUGACAUAAUUUUUAAAAAGCGAAUGAAUUUUGCACAUAAAUGUACAUUUAUAAAUAUAUUCUAUUAAAUUGCAUAUAGAUAUCUAUAUACAAACAUACAAAUAAAUAUCUUGUAAAUAAUAUUUUAACUGAUUUCGAAAUAAACUCGAUCGAAGGAAAUAAACAAACACGAAGAGAAUAUCUGUAUAUUAACAAUACCUUUUAAACAAAACUCUAGAUGUUUAACCGUUUGAAAAAUUACAAUUAGAAAAUUAUUUACAUAAUAAAUUUAUAUGGACAAUUGCUUCGUUUAAAAUUUGCCUUAAUCGAGAAAUCUUAUCAAAACGAUAAAAAUUAAGACACUCUAUUCUAUCAAAAAAUUAUUUCAUUGAAGCGGUCUUUUAUGCGAACUCCAACCAUGAAAGCACUUGGUGAAUCUUCGAGAUUCCUUUCCUUUAGCAGUUAGAUAUAAUUUACGUGGUUUAUCCGGUUGUUUUACUCGUAAGUGUUGGAUGUAUACCUAAAAAUUGAAUACGCUCAUUUCUUACUUUUACUCUCACUUAUAUCGUACUAUUUUGUUCGAUAAUUUUUACAAAUUAUUUAAUAUUUUUAUCGUUCAUUCUUUACCUGAGCAGAUUUGUAUGCUAAUUUAAUUUCUACUUCCGAACAUCGACUGCCCAACCAUAAAAAUACUUGUUCACCAUUAUCAAGAAUCAUAAUAUCAUCAUCCGCCAAGUCAUCCUGGAAUUAGUAUUAACGAAAUAUAAAUAUGCACAUUAAUUUAAAAAUAUAUAAUAAUACGGCGAUACAAGCGAAAAUAAAAUAAAUUUAUAGUUUAUAAAAAUAUAUACUUGACAAAAGUCGGUGCAUUUUUCGCUAAUAGUAAAAUAUCCUUUUUCGUUCGAACAUCUAAAGAGUCUGGUAUAAUUCAUGUAUUCCGCAUCAUUAUCGUACGGUUUCUUUCCACCAAGUGCUACCCAAAAAAAAUUAUCCGGUUCUUCACCUUCAUUCAAAACUUGUAAACUUAUCCAUGGCUGUUGACCAUUCAAAAAAAAAUAAAUUAUAUAAAAUUUUAUAAAAUCUUGACAGAAUACAAAUACGACAAAUAUAACGUAUAUAACAACAAACGUACGUUAUUAAACAUUUCUUCGGCGAUUUCUUGAAUCAAACGUGCUUCUUCGCUAUCAGCUUUGGAACCAAUCCAAGCGUAUACUAUUCCUGUCUCGUCAUCAUUGUUAAAUGGUACAUUUAAGAUGUAAC